CUGCUGCCUCCCGUAGGAGUUUGGGCCGUGUCUCAGUCCCAAUGUGGCCGGUCACCCUCUCAGGUCGGCUACUGAUCGUCGGCUUGGUGGGCCGUUACCCCGCCAACUACCUAAUCAGACGCGGGUCCAUCCUGUACCACCGGAGUUUUUCACACCGGACCAUGCGGUCCUGUGCGCUUAUGCGGUAUUAGCAGUCAUUUCUAACUGUUGUCCCCCUGUACAGGGCAGGUUACCCACGCGUUACUCACCCGUCCGCCA
rnacentral:rRNA from 1 species